GCAAAGGGCUUUGACUCAACUUUCUGAAAGUUUCAAGGUUUUUAUUUGUAUAGAGAAAACUGUGAUAUCCUUUAAUGGCUGUGUUACCUCUCUAGAAAUGGUCUGAGCAUGGAAUUGACAUCAAGAGAUUUCAGAAGCACAAUUUUUGCAGUUGGGGUCGCCAGUAACCACCCGUUCCAGUGCCCCA
rnacentral:snRNA from 1 species